rnacentral:piRNA from 1 species
UAGUCCAUAACUACAAGAGUCCAGAACAAGA